UAAACGAUGUCGACUUGGAGGUUGUGCCCUUGAGGCGUGGCUUCCGGAGCUAACGCGUUAAGUCGACCGCCUGGGGAGUACGGCCGCAAGGUUAAAACUCAAAUGAAUUGAUGGGGGCCCGCACAAGCGGUGGAGCAUGUGGUUUAAUUCGAUGCAACGCGAAGAACCUUACCUGGUCUUGACAUCCACGGAAGUUUUCAGAGAUGAGAAUGUGCCUUCGGGAACCGUGAGACAGGUGCUGCAUGGCUGUCGACAGCUCGUGUUGUGAAAUGUUGGGUUAAGUCCCGCAACGAGCGCAACCCUUAUCCUUUGUUGCCAGCGGUCCGGCCGGGAACUCAAAGGAGACUGCCAGUGAUAAACUGGAGGAAGGUGGGGAUGACGUCAAGUCAUCAUGGCCCUUACGACCAGGGCUACACACGUGCUACAAUGGCGCAUACAAAGAGAAGCGACCUCGCGAGAGCAAGCGGACCUCAUAAAGUGCGUCGUAGUCCGGAUUGGAGUCUGCAACUCGACUCCAUGAAGUCGGAAUCGCUAGUAAUCGUGGAUCAGAAUGCCACGGU
rnacentral:rRNA from 1 species